rnacentral:rRNA from 1 species
GACGAACGCUGGCGGCGUGCUUAACACAUGCAAGUCGAACGGAAAGGCCCCUUUGGGGGUACUCGAGUGGCGAACGGGUGAGUAACACGUGAGUAACCUGCCCUUGACUUCGGGAUAACUUCAGGAAACUGGGGCUAAUACCGGAUAGGAAUCCUUGCUGCAUGGGGGGGGUUGGAAAGCUUCGGCGGUUUUGGAUGGACUCGCGGCCUAUCAGCUUGUUGGUGGGGUAGUGGCUUACCAAGGCUUUGACGGGUAGCCGGCCUGAGAGGGCGACCGGCCACAUUGGGACUGAGAUACGGCCCAGACUCCUACGGGAGGCAGCAGUGGGGAAUAUUGCACAAUGGGCGGAAGCCUGAUGCAGCAACGCCGCGUGCGGGAUGACGGCCUUCGGGUUGUAAACCGCUUUCAGCAGGGGCGAAGCUUGUGGUGACGGUACCUGCAGAAGAAGCACCGGCUAACUACGUG